rnacentral:rRNA from 1 species
UACGGAGGGCGCAAGCGUUGUUCGGAAUCACUGGGCGUAAAGCGCGUGUAGGCGGCCGGGCAAGUCGGAUGUGAAAUCCCGAGGCUCAACCUCGGGUCUGCAGUCGAUACGGGCGGACUGGAGUUCGGCAGGGGAGACUGGAAUUCCUGGUGUAGCGGUGAAAUGCGCAGAUAUCAGGAGGAACACCGGUGGCGAAGGCGGGUCUCUGGGCCGAUACUGACGCUGAGGAGCGAAAGCGUGGGGAGCGAACAGG